rnacentral:rRNA from 1 species
AUGGAGAGUUUGAUCCUGGCUCAGGACGAACGCUGGCGGCGCGCCUAACACAUGCAAGUCGAGGGAGAAGCACCCUUCGGGGUGUGGAGACCGGCGAACGGGUGAGUAACACGUGAGGAACCUGCCCUGCAGACCGGAAUAACCACGGGAAACUGUGGCUAAUGCCGGAUG